rnacentral:rRNA from 1 species
UACAGAGGUCUCAAGCGUUGUUCGGAUUCAUUGGGCGUAAAGGGUGCGUAGGUGGCCAGGUAAGUUCGGUGUGAAAGCUCGGAGCUUAACUCCGAAAUGUCAUUGAAUACUAUCUGGCUGGAGGGUCGGAGGGGAGACUGGAAUUCUCGGUGUAGCAGUGAAAUGCGUAGAUAUCGAGAGGAACACCAGUGGCGAAGGCGAGUCUCUGGACGACUCCUGACACUGAGGCACGAAAGCUAGGGGAGCAAACCAGG